CGCAGUACGAGUGAAUCAUCGAAUCUUUGAACGCACCUUGCACUUUCAGGGUCAACUUGAAAGUAUACCUGUUUGAGUAUCAUAAACAUUUAUCCAUUCUUUACUGACUGGGAUUUGAAAUUUCAAUUUCUUGGGAGAUUGUAUUUCUAAAUGUAUUACAGAGAAACAAAGUAAAGAGCACUUUUAUUUUGAAUGAGGAUAUUUACUCUUGUAGUAAAGAAUCAAACUUUAUAUUAGAAAGCAUUACUGGACUCUUUCUUUUGUGGUGAUGUGUUUGUGUGUUUUUUUAAAAAAUACACAUUCAUCACUCCAAAAACACCGCACAAAUGUGAUCUCAAAUCAGGCAAGACUACCCGCUGAACUUAAGCAUAUCAAUAAGCGGAGG
rnacentral:rRNA from 1 species